GAGAGAGAGAGAGAAAGGGUUGCUUUAUAAAGCUUCAGAAGUCACCAAAAAGGCCUCUCUUUCCUUUUUAUUUAUUUAUUUUUUUUAAUUUUUACGUCUUUUGACGUUCUUUCCGCUAUUUCUAUGGCUCUUCCCAUAACUCUUGUUCUUCACACUUUACUGCAAUUUCUUUGAUACAUAAUGAACGGUUCAGAUAUGCCUCUAUCCAAAGAUCCAGCUUUCAAGCUCUUUGGUCGAAAGAUUCCGGUACCCGAUACCCUGAUUCCGGCCAAACCACCAUCCCAGCAGAACAGCUGCAAUGAAAUUACAAAAGGAGAAACUGAUGGUCUCAAUGAUGACAACUCCGGAGAGCCAGAUAAGUCCAAUGCUUCAGGUCAAGCUAAGGAAGAAAACCAAACCCUUAUGCUUGUGGAUGAAACGAAAGGAACUUCCAAGUCAAAGGAAGACCAGGAAGAGACCAAUAGUGUAGACCAAGAGAAAGUUUUCAAGAAGCCAGAUAAGAUCCUACCAUGUCCAAGAUGUAACAGUUUAGAUACAAAAUUUUGUUACUUCAACAACUACAGUGUCAACCAACCAAGGCAUUUUUGCAAGAAUUGCCACAGAUAUUGGACGGCUGGUGGAACAAUGAGAAAUGUCCCUAUUGGUGCUGGACGGCGGAAGAAUAAGCACUUAGCCUCUCAGUACCGUCAAAUAUUAGUAUCUUCUGAAGGUGUACCUAUUACCAGAAUGGAAAACUCAGAUUCAGCCAAUCACCAACUUGUAUCAUCUGUUGAUUCUGCAACCACUUUGAGUCCUUCAACAACAGGAAAUGGGAUGGUUCUAAAAUUUGGUCCUGAAGCACCACUUUGUGAAUCCAUGGAGACAGCACUUAACCUUGGAGACCAAAACAAAUAUGCUGAGAUAAGUUCAGUCAAUUGUCGAGAUAAUAUAGAGGAGCCAUCCUCAUGUGGAUCCUCCAUGACAGCAUCCAGUUGCCAGGGAAAUGAAUUACCAGAAACUGUUAUGCAAAAGGAGCUAGUUGGCUUGCCAGGACCUCCUAAUGAGUUCAAUAUGCCACAUCCUCUGCACUGUUACCCUCUUCCUCCAUGGGUAUUCCCCUGGAACCCAGGUUGGAACAAUGCAACUUCUAUGGCAGCAGCUCAGCAUUCUGCUGGGCCAAAUAGCAAUAAUUCCAAUCAACUUCAGUGGUGCCCUACACCAAUACUGGCAGUCCCAGGCUUUUGUCCACCAAAUAUUCCUUUACAAUUUGUACCGGCUUCAUAUUGGGGUUGCAUGCCUAUGUGGGCUGCUGGAACAGGAAAUAAGUCAUUGAGUGGAUCUAAUGGUUGCUCUUCUCCAUCAUCCUCGACUAGCACCAGUUGCUGCUCUGGAAAUGGCUCACCAAACCUAGGCAAGCAUUCUAGAGAUUCAAAUCUUAUGAAUGAAGAUAAAGCUGAGAAUUGUAUAUUGGUACCAAAGACAUUGAGAAUUGAUGACCCAAAUGAGGCUUCAAAGAGUCCUUUAUGGGCCACAUUAGGUCUUAAACUUGACCAGAAGAAUCCUGUACCAAAAGGUACCACCUUCAAAACUUUUGAAACUAAAGCAGAAGGGAAGGGCCAUGUAUCAGAUGCCACUCAUAUACUAGAAGCAAACCCAGCAGCUCUUUCUCGCUCUCAUACAUUCCAGGAAAGCAGCUAGAGGGGGCCCUACUGAAAUUUUUCUUGAUGAAUUGCAGGGACUUGUUUUCUUCUAAGAGAAUGUAGCAUCAGCCUUCCUUUCAGAAAUCUUGCUUUUAUGCUAAAUCCUGAUUCUUUGAAGUCUGAAAAAAGAUAUUGGGAAAUCAAAAGUUGCAUUACAAUCAACAGUGUUGUCAGCAUAUCUCUUCAAAAGAGUUCACAUUGUAAAUAUUGGAGGAUCUUUAGUGAGUGUUUUUAUGUUCUGCGGCCUUUUGUAGGUUUCAGUUCAUACACAUUCGUCUCUUCUGCCUUGAGUUGGCAGAAAAUAAAGGGAAGUUCUGCUAAAUGUUGUAUGUAUGAUUUAAAACCCAUGUUCAAUUACAAGGCUAACCCAUGUUUUAAAUCAUACAUACAACAUUUAGCA
rnacentral:misc_RNA from 1 species